rnacentral:rRNA from 1 species
GAGUUUGAUCCUGGCUCAGGAUGAACGCUGGCGGCGUGCCUAAUACAUGCAAGUAGAACGCUGAAGUCUGGUGCUUGCACUAGACGGAUGAGUUGCGAACGGGUGAGUAACGCGUAGGUAACCUGCCUCAUAGCGGGGGAUAACUAUUGGAAACGAUAGCUAAUACCGCAUAACAGUAUUUACCGCAUGGUAGGUACUUGAAAGGAGCAAUUGCUUCACUAUGAGAUGGACCUGCGUUGUAUUAGCUAGUUGGUGAGGUAACGGCUUACCAAGGCUUCGAUACAUAGCCGACCUGGGAGGGUGAUCGGCCACACUGGGACUGAGACACGGCCCAGACUCCUACGGGAGGCAGCAGUAGGGAAUCUUCGGCAAUGGGGGCAACCCUGACCGAGCAACGCCGCGUGAGUGAAGAAGGUUUUCGGAUCGUAAAGCUCUGUUGUAAGAGAAGAACUGUGAGAAGAGUGGAAAGUUUCUCAUUUGACGGUAUCUUACCAGAAAGGGACGGCUAACUACGUGCCAGCAGCCGCGGUAAUACGUAGGUCCCGAGCGUUGUCCGGAUUUAUUGGGCGUAAAGCGAGCGCAGGCGGUUUGAUAAGUCUGAAGUAAAAGGCUGUGGCUUAACCAUAGUACGCUUUGGAAACUGUCAAACUUGAGUGCAGAAGGGGAGAGUGGAAUUCCAUGUGUAGCGGUGAAAUGCGUAGA